rnacentral:rRNA from 1 species
UUCGCAAUGCCCGAAAGGGUGACGAAGCGACGCCGCGUGUGGGAAGAAGGCCUUCGGGUUGUAAACCACUGUCGGGAGUUAAGAAAUACAAGGAUAUUAAUAGUGUCUUUGUUUGACUAAGGCUCCGGAGGAAGCCACGGCUAACUCUGUGCCAGCAGCCGCGGUAAUACAGAGGCGGCAAGCGUUGUUCGGAAUUAUUGGGCGUAAAGAGCACGUAGGCGGCUAUGUAAGUCGGUUGUGAAAGCCUUCCGCUCAACGGAAGAACAGCAUCCGAUACUGCAUGGCUUGAGUGCGGGAGGGGAGGGUGGAACUUCUGGUGGAGCGGUGAAAUGCGUAGAUAUCAGAAGGAACGCCGGCGGCGAAAGCGGCUCUCUGGCCCAUAACUGACGCUGAGCGUGCGAAAGCUAGGGGAGCAAACGGGAUUAGAUACCCCGGUAGUCCUAGCCGUAAACGAUGGGCACUAAGUAGAGGGGUUUU